rnacentral:lncRNA from 1 species
CAGAGUUCAAGAACCAGCUGGGGACAAUGCAAGCUAUCGAAGCAGCAUAAUCAAGAUGUAGCAACUAUGAAUCCGCAACUAUACAGUCCAAGGAAGAGGACGCGCGCAACAAACAUUUAAUUAUAAAGGUUUAGCUGAGAAAGUGGUAUUGAAACCAAACCGAAAAUUACAGUUAAGAGCUGGUGUGUGCAGUAUAUAGCGCAAGAUGCGAAUACCAAUUGUGGCGGCAGCAAAACUAAAUGCAAAUGAAGAAAAAAAUUUAUAAAUGAUACGGGGACAAAUACAUGUAUUUUAAGGUUUAGCUGAGAGUGGUAUGGAAACAAACCAGAAAUUACAGUAUACCUUAGCGACAAUGUUCAAAUGCUGGGAUUAGUGGAAAGGCCCAUUAUUUGAAAAGUAGAAGCAUGUUUAGCAUAAUUUUGAAGCUGGUGAAAUUAACAACUACCAUGUGUUGAGAUCGAACAAGAUCUUCGAGACCAAAUGCAGCAAAGACUAACGUGAAGGAAUGCAGCAACACUUCGUCGAGAGAAUAAUGACUGUGAUGACACUAGAGAGGGAGACAAGAACAAAAAGUAGCUUUAAGUUUGGAUAGUCUCGGGCAGGAGCAGCUUUGCCGUCAGCAAGGUGCACACAUCGAAGAAGCAAGUUGGAAACGAUUUCUCCACAUCCACACUCCACUCCAAAAGCCAUUGCUUAGACCAGUGCAACUCAUAACUACCUCGCCUAUUGAGACCUAAAUCUAGAAGAUUAGAAAUAAAAGCACGUACCUCGUUUAUGUCCGUGUUCUGCCAGUCUUUCAUUACACCUAACCUACCUCCAUUUUGAGCGAUAAUCUCUCAGCGUACCGGUUGGUCUCAUCCACUAUGAGCUGCAACAUCUGAUCGUCAAUAAAAUGGUGGAAGAUGUCGAAUAUACAGUAGAUAAUCCUCGUCAUGUACCAAAGGUCCACAAUGUUCAGUGAAUUCACC